UAGGCACACUAAAUACAAGAAGUAACAAUUUGGGAUGAAGAAGAACCUGUGUGCAAUUCAUAGACCUCUAGAAUAUUAAGGACAUGGGCUGGAUUUCAAAGGAUCGACGAAGGACUGCAGGAUACACUGAAUGAGGAAGAAAGACUCCACCAAAUAAUGUAACACAUAAAGUAAAUUAGCUACAGAAUUAUUGUAUAGACAAACGGCCUUCAACAAUCAUCGAAGGAAAAAAAUGAAGAUUAGUUGGUGCAGUUACAAUGACUGAAAGCCAUGGAAAUGUCAUGUAAAAUGGCACACCGGUCUGAUGCAUAUGCUGUGUUGCCCUUAUACAGCUGUGAUGAAUGCAUUAAUUAAACUUUGCAUGUAUGACUAUGAAUUUUGAUAUGCAUAACAAACUGCUAAAUAUGUAUCUGUAUAUCUCAAUUUUGUGGAACUGUUAAUGUUGGGAGUUAAUGGAGUGUUGCAGAAUCUGUUUGCUAGCUGAGGACAUUAAAAAACUUGUUUUAGGUUGGAUGCUUUGGAUGAAUUAGACUGGAGAGAAUAUUGUUGGCAGCUGAAGUUAGAUGCUUGCAACCUUCCAGACUUGAAUGACAAAGAAACUUUUAAGUUUUAUUUGUAAAGGAGAAGGUUGAACUAUUAAUUUUGUCAUGUGAUCUAAAGAGAUACAUUUAAAUGAAAUUGUUUCUAUGUUUUGUCAGUCUGAAGAAGUCUCUCUAGGGAUGAAAGCACUUAAAGAUUAAACACUGUAUUUGUUUUA